AGCCAGAUUUCUCUCAGAAUGGAGGAGACAUCUGUCGCGUGUUUUCUCUGACUCUCACUGACGCAGUUCAGUGGAAUGAAUGAAGCGAGGAUUGAUGCGGAGCGGCUGCUCUCCGUGGCUGUUGAGACGGGGUGCAGGCUGCAGGCUCCGCGUUGAGACGGCAGGAGGUCAAGAAGUCAGCGGUGAAGUGGAUGUCGACGUCACAGAAGAAGAGCAGCACGUUGUGGCUCCGCCUCCACGCCCUGGCCCCCACGUCCAGGCCCCGCCCACGAGAGAACUCCUCGUUCAUCUGGAUCAGAGUGAAGCUCCUGAACCGGGUCUCUCUGAGGGACAGACGACAGGAGGACUGUUUAAAUCAGACAGGUCCACUCAGGCUGCAUGUGUGUGUGUUGGUCAUUACACAUGCACACAUACCAUACAGACCCUUUUAAAGCCCUGGACAGGUCGCCUGAGGCUCCACCCUGCCCUUAAGUCUAAUUAGAAGGCAACCGGGGCCAAAGAGUGGACUCAAGGUUAUAAAUGGCUUCAUGUGACUCAAAGUCAUCAGUCAGAAGGUGGUUUAAAAGGACAAUUAUGAUGUGAGCCCAGUUUUACAUGAUGUCCCUUUGUCUGUUCCAUUUAUGUCAACAAUAAAAAAAAAACAAGUUUAAAGAAAAAAACAAGCUGGACAAACAAGAAAAUUAUUAUUAGUUUUAACCUUCCAGAACUUGGAAAAUGAUGUUACUUCUCACUGGAAUUUGAGGUAUUGUUUGGCUUCCGAGGGUCUCAAGACAAAAAAGGUGAAGAAGCAGCACAUUAGAGAGACUUAACACUUUCAUGCCUCAUAUGACCUGGUGGUGGCGCCAGAUACACAACUACCAGGAAGGAAACGAGAGAAGCUGAGCAAAACAGACAACUGUAUUUAUUAUUGUUUCAAGUUAUUUACAUCUGUUGGAUUACAAAAAUGUGGAAUGUGGCCAGAAUCCGAGCAAACGUUUUCUCACGUGCCGGCUUUUCCUUUUUGUUUUUUUUUAUUUCUUCUUUUCUUGGCACACAACAGACUCGUGUGACUCCAGCAGCCUCACCUGUGUGUGUGUUUGGCUUUUUAAAUUACAGUGCAGGUGGCGUCUGUAUGUGCUUUGUGAGUUUUGUGCUCAAUUUAGGCAGUGUUUCGCUUUCUGAAUCGCUGUAAAUCACACAAAAAAAAGACCCUACAGUACAACUGUGGAAUGUAAAAACUGAAUCACCAGCAAUAAUGCCACAAAAAUGCGAGUGAGAUUAAAUUGCUUCCCAGAUGGAUUCACAGAACAACACAGAGGGUCUGCUUUCCUUUAUCUUCAGAAGAGGCAGCGUCUCUUGAUACUUCACAGACUUUUAUAAAAGAUUCACCACACCUGAAAACAAGAGGACCUGCUGUGCCGCAUACGAACCUUAGUCGAACAUUUUAGAAGAACAAAGGCAUGGAAACUUUUUUCUUUUCUUGUGAAAAUUCAAAGUGCAAUAUCUAAAAAAAAACAAAAACAAAACAAAAAUCAACA